CGAACGCUGGCGGCGUGCUUAACACAUUCAAGUCGAACGGAAAGGCCCUGCUUUUGUGGGGUGCUCGAGUGGCGAACGGGUGAGUAACACGUGAGUAACCUGCCCUUGACUUUGGGAUAACUUCAGGAAACUGGGGCUACUACCGGAUAGGAGCUCCUGCUGCAUGGUGGGGGUUGGAAAGUUUCGGCGGUUGGGGAUGGACUCGCGGCUUAUCAGCUUGUUGGUGGGGUAGUGGCUUACCAAGGCUUUGACGGGUAGCCGGCCUGAGAGGGUGACCGGCCACAUUGGGACUGAGAUACGGCCCAGACUCCUACGGGAGGCAGCAGUGGGGAAUAUUGCACAAUGGGCGGAAGCCUGAUGCAGCAACGCCGCGUGCGGGAUGACGGCCUUCGGGUUGUAAACCGCUUUCGCCUGUGACGAAGCGUGAGUGACGGUAAUGGGUAAAGAAGCACCGGCUAACUACGUG
rnacentral:rRNA from 1 species